rnacentral:rRNA from 1 species
AGCAACAAAUGCCCUGCUUCCAGGAAAAGCCUCUAAGCAUCAGGUAACAUCAAAUCGUACCCCAAACCGACACAGGUGGUCAGGUAGAGAAUACCAAGGCGCUUGAGAGAACUCGGGUGAAGGAACUAGGCAAAAUGGUGCCGUAACUUCGGGAGAAGGCACGCUGACACGUAGGUGAAGUGAUUUACUCAUGGAGCUGAAGUCAGUCGAAGAUACCAGCUGGCUGCAACUGUUUAUUAAAAACACAGCACUGUGCAAACACGAAAGUGGACGUAUACGGUGUGACGCCUGCCCGGUGCCGGAAGGUUAAUUGAUGGGGUCAGCGCAAGCGAAGCUCCUGAUCGAAGCCCCGGUAAACGGCGGCCGUAACUAUAACGGUCCUAAGGUAGCGAAAUUCCUUGUCGGGUAAGUUCCGACCUGCACGAAUGGCGUAAUGAUGGCCAGGCUGUCUCCACCCGAGACUCAGUGAAAUUGAACUCGCUGUGAAGAUGCAGUGUACCCGCGGCAAGACGGAAAGACCCCGUGAACCUUUACUAUAGCUUGACACUGAACAUUGAGCCUUGAUGUGUAGGAUAGGUGGGAGGCUUUGAAGCGUGGACGCCAGUCUGCGUGGAGCCGACCUUGAAAUACCACCCUUUAAUGUUUGAUGUUCUAACGUGGACCCGUGAUCCGGGUUGCGGACAGUGUCUGGUGGGUAGUUUGACUGGGGCGGUCUCCUCCUAAAGAGUAACGGAGGAGCACGAAGGUUGGCUAAUCCUGGUCGGACAUCAGGAGGUUAGUGCAAUGGCAUAAGCCAGCUUGACUGCGAGCGUGACGGCGCGAGCAGGUGCGAAAGCAGGUCAUAGUGAUCCGGUGGUUCUGAAUGGAAGGGCCAUCGCUCAACGGAUAAAAGGUACUCCGGGGAUAACAGGCUGAUACCGCCCAAGAGUUCAUAUCGACGGCGGUGUUUGGCACCUCGAUGUCGGCUCAUCACAUCCUGGGGCUGAAGUAGGUCCCAAGGGUAUGGCUGUUCGCCAUUUAAAGUGGUACGCGAGCUGGGUUUAGAACGUCGUGAGACAGUUCGGUCCCUAUCUGCCGUGGGCGCUGGAGAACUGAGGGGGGCUGCUCCUAGUACGAGAGGACCGGAGUGGACGCAUCACUGGUGUUCGGGUUGUCAUGCCAAUGGCACUGCCCGGUAGCUAAAUGCGGAAGAGAUAAGUGCUGAAAGCAUCUAAGCACGAAACUUGCCCCGAGAUGAGUUCUCCCUGAGACUUAGAGUCUCCUGAAGGAACGUUGAAGACGACGACGUUGAUAGGCCGGGUGUGUAAGCGCAGCGAUGCGUUGAGCUAACCGGUACUAAUGAACCGUGAGGCUUAACCUU